UGUGGGGGACUGGUUGCCCUGGUGCUCCCAGGAAUAAUGCAAACAAGGAGCUGCCAUUCUUCUCCAGACCUGAGGACAAACCAUGGAGAGACAGGGCUACAUGUGAGAGCCAAGGAGCCAGGCUCUCAGUCGGGCUUCUUGAGGCCAUUUCCCGCUGCAGGCCGCAACCUUAUGGCUGAUUGAAACCUCAUGUGGAGCCUCCCAGCCCCAGCACCCUUCCCAUUGCCCCUCAGAGGGGCAGUUCUUGGAUGACUCGGAUCUCAAUCAUUAAAGUAGACUCUCAUGCAAA